GAUGAAGAACGUAGUGAAAUGCGAUAAGUAAUGUGAAUUGCAGAAUUCAGUGAAUCAUCGAAUCUUUGAACGCACAUUGCGCCCGCCAGUAUUCUGGCGGGCAUGCCUGUCUGAGCGUCAUUUCAACCCUCAUGCCCCUAGGGCGUGGUGUUGGGGAUCGGCCAAAGCCCGCGAGGGACGGCCGGCCCCUAAAUCUAGUGGCGGACCCGUCGUGGCCUCCUCUGCGAAGUAGUGAUAUUCCGCAUCGGAGAGCGAUGAGCCCCUGCCGUUAAACCCCCUACUUUCCAAGGUUGACCUCAGAUCAGGUAGGAAUACCCGCUGAACUUAAGCAUAUCAAUAAGCGGAGGA
rnacentral:misc_RNA from 1 species